GCCAUUUCCCAUUUUCUCACUUCAUUCGUCCCUCUCUUAAUUUGUUGCCUUUUCUUCGAAUAUGUUGCCGAGCGGUCUUCUUAUGAUGAAUAUUUGUGCAAUUUUAAAAAUUGUUUCUUCUUAUGUGGCUAAUAUGGAUGAGUGGAAAUAUAAGCUCAAUUGACCAAGAAAUUUGUCCAGAGAUAGAAAUGAUAGAAGGGGCUAUGAGCAAUUUUUUAACCUUGCCAAAUGGAUAAAACUGUAUAGAUAAUGUUACCAUUUUCUAUUAUGUCAAAAGUUCAUGUUUGUGAAUGACUUAAUUUAAUUAAACGAUUCCUAAUAAAUUCACGCCUUAUUAUUUCCA